UAAAACACAUGCCAAAACAACCGUUAUAGAAAAAAUGGUCCAUUAUGUAUAAGAAGGUCAUAUUCAUUUUAUUUCUCUAAUUUUGCUUGAGAUGGGCUUUCUUGCUUUUUGUUGUGCAAUUUUGUCAAGUGGUUUUGCCUAUUGAUUGGCUAGUAGAAGAUGUGUGCCUUUGUCAACCCAUUGAAUGUUUCUUUUGAGCAGCUUGUGCAGGGUGGUACUGCUAUGGGAACUAGAUUGAAUUCCAAAAAAGGGUAUGAAUUUUUCUGGGUUUUAAGCAAUGUCGCUUUAUGGCUAUUUGUCAGUGUGAUUUGUUGUGGUAGUUAUGUACUCAUCAUUUCUUACAAUCUUCAUAUCUGGGAUAUUGUUUCUUCUUUUCUUUGCUUUUUUGAGUUUACAUUUGCCUUGAUAUUUGUUAAGCUUGAUACAUUUGUACUUCUUGUAGUGUCUCCUUCAGCAUAUCUCUUGUAAAAAUUGCUGCUGCAAUAGCUGAUUGAUUCAUUUUUCUUUUACUGGCAAGAAACCAAAUAUUUCAAUGUAGAAAUGGUGGCAUGGAUAGGAAGAAGAUCAUUGCCAUACGUUUGUUUCUUGCAAAUGAGAUUGCCGAGCUUGUGGCCAUGUUGAUUCUUUUGUGAGUAUUGUCCACUACUUUCAUAAAAUUUGUAUAAUUUCUGUUGCUUAUGUAGGUAUGAAAAGCCUUGCUCUCAGUCUCUUUGUUUGAUUGAGACAAAGAACACAAGUUUGGCAAUUGUUUCAAAGAAGACCAUGCA